GGGUUGUGAGGUUAAGCGACUAAGCGUACACGGUGGAUGCCCUGGCAGUCAGAGGCGAUGAAGGACGUGCUAAUCUGCGAUAAGCGUCGGUAAGGUGAUAUGAACCGUUAUAACCGGCGAUUUCCGAAUGGGGAAACCCAGUGUGAUUCGUCACACUAUCAUUAACUGAAUCCAUAGGUUAAUGAGGCGAACCGGGGGAACUGAAACAUCUAAGUACCCCGAGGAAAAGAAAUCAACCGAGAUUCCCCCAGUAGCGGCGAGCGAACGGGGAGCAGCCCAGAGCCUGAAUCAGUGUGUGUGUUAGUGGAAGCGUCUGGAAAGGCGCGCGAUACAGGGUGACAGCCCCGUACACAAAAAUGCACAUACUGUGAGCUCGAUGAGUAGGGCGGGACACGUGGUAUCCUGUCUGAAUAUGGGGGGACCAUCCUCCAAGGCUAAAUACUCCUGACUGACCGAUAGUGAACCAGUACCGUGAGGGAAAGGCGAAAAGAACCCCGGCGAGGGGAGUGAAAAAGAACCUGAAACCGUGUACGUACAAGCAGUGGGAGCCUCUUAAUGGGGUGACUGCGUACCUUUUGUAUAAUGGGUCAGCGACUUAUAUUCUGUAGCAAGGUUAACCGAAUAGGGGAGCCGAAGGGAAACCGAGUCUUAACUGGGCGUUAAGUUGCAGGGUAUAGACCCGAAACCCGGUGAUCUAGCCAUGGGCAGGUUGAAGGUUGGGUAACACUAACUGGAGGACCGAACCGACUAAUGUUGAAAAAUUAGCGGAUGACUUGUGGCUGGGGGUGAAAGGCCAAUCAAACCGGGAGAUAGCUGGUUCUCCCCGAAAGCUAUUUAGGUAGCGCCUCGUGAAUUCAUCUCCGGGGGUAGAGCACUGUUUCGGCAAGGGGGUCAUCCCGACUUACCAACCCGAUGCAAACUGCGAAUACCGGAGAAUGUUAUCACGGGAGACACACGGCGGGUGCUAACGUCCGUCGUGAAGAGGGAAACAACCCAGACCGCCAGCUAAGGUCCCAAAGUCAUGGUUAAGUGGGAAACGAUGUGGGAAGGCCCAGACAGCCAGGAUGUUGGCUUAGAAGCAGCCAUCAUUUAAAGAAAGCGUAAUAGCUCACUGGUCGAGUCGGCCUGCGCGGAAGAUGUAACGGGGCUAAACCAUGCACCGAAGCUGCGGCAGCGACGCUUAUGCGUUGUUGGGUAGGGGAGCGUUCUGUAAGCCUGCGAAGGUGUGCUGUGAGGCAUGCUGGAGGUAUCAGAAGUGCGAAUGCUGACAUAAGUAACGAUAAAGCGGGUGAAAAGCCCGCUCGCCGGAAGACCAAGGGUUCCUGUCCAACGUUAAUCGGGGCAGGGUGAGUCGACCCCUAAGGCGAGGCCGAAAGGCGUAGUCGAUGGGAAACAGGUUAAUAUUCCUGUACUUGGUGUUACUGCGAAGGGGGGACGGAGAAGGCUAUGUUGGCCGGGCGACGGUUGUCCCGGUUUAAGCGUGUAGGCUGGUUUUCCAGGCAAAUCCGGAAAAUCAAGGCUGAGGCGUGAUGACGAGGCACUACGGUGCUGAAGCAACAAAUGCCCUGCUUCCAGGAAAAGCCUCUAAGCAUCAGGUAACAUCAAAUCGUACCCCAAACCGACACAGGUGGUCAGGUAGAGAAUACCAAGGCGCUUGAGAGAACUCGGGUGAAGGAACUAGGCAAAAUGGUGCCGUAACUUCGGGAGAAGGCACGCUGAUACUAGGUGAAGCGCCCUGUGCGUGGAGCUGAAAUCAGUCGAAGAUACCAGCUGGCUGCAACUGUUUAUUAAAAACACAGCACUGUGCAAACACGAAAGUGGACGUAUACGGUGUGACGCCUGCCCGGUGCCGGAAGGUUAAUUGAUGGGGUUAGCGGUAACGCGAAGCUCUUGAUCGAAGCCCCGGUAAACGGCGGCCGUAACUAUAACGGUCCUAAGGUAGCGAAAUUCCUUGUCGGGUAAGUUCCGACCUGCACGAAUGGCGUAAUGAUGGCCAGGCUGUCUCCACCCGAGACUCAGUGAAAUUGAACUCGCUGUGAAGAUGCAGUGUACCCGCGGCAAGACGGAAAGACCCCGUGAACCUUUACUAUAGCUUGACACUGAACAUUGAGCCUUGAUGUGUAGGAUAGGUGGGAGGCUUUGAAGUGUGGACGCCAGUCUGCAUGGAGCCGACCUUGAAAUACCACCCUUUAAUGUUUGAUGUUCUAACGUUGGCCCCUAAUCGGGGUUGCGGACAGUGUCUGGUGGGUAGUUUGACUGGGGCGGUCUCCUCCUAAAGAGUAACGGAGGAGCACGAAGGUUGGCUAAUCCUGGUCGGACAUCAGGAGGUUAGUGCAAUGGCAUAAGCCAGCUUGACUGCGAGCGUGACGGCGCGAGCAGGUGCGAAAGCAGGUCAUAGUGAUCCGGUGGUUCUGAAUGGAAGGGCCAUCGCUCAACGGAUAAAAGGUACUCCGGGGAUAACAGGCUGAUACCGCCCAAGAGUUCAUAUCGACGGCGGUGUUUGGCACCUCGAUGUCGGCUCAUCACAUCCUGGGGCUGAAGUAGGUCCCAAGGGUAUGGCUGUUCGCCAUUUAAAGUGGUACGCGAGCUGGGUUUAGAACGUCGUGAGACAGUUCGGUCCCUAUCUGCCGUGGGCGCUGGAGAACUGAGGGGGGCUGCUCCUAGUACGAGAGGACCGGAGUGGACGCAUCACUGGUGUUCGGGUUGUCAUGCCAAUGGCACUGCCCGGUAGCUAAAUGCGGAAGAGAUAAGUGCUGAAAGCAUCUAAGCACGAAACUUGCCCCGAGAUGAGUUCUCCCUGACUCCCUGAGAGUCCUGAAGGAACGUUGAAGACGACGACGUUGAUAGGCCGGGUGUGUAAGCGCAGCGAUGCGUUGAGCUAACCGGUACUAAUGAACCGUGAGGCUUAACCUUACAACGCCGAAG
rnacentral:rRNA from 1 species